rnacentral:rRNA from 1 species
UACGGAGGGUGCGAGCGUUGUCCGGAAUCACUGGGCGUAAAGGGCGCGUAGGCGGCCUGAUAAGUAGGGGGUGAAAUCCUGUGGCUUAACCGCAGGGCUGCCUUCUAAACUGUCGGGCUAGAGCACAGUAGAGGCAGGUGGAAUUCCCGGUGUAGCGGUGGAAUGCGCAGAGAUCGGGAAGAACAUCAGUGGCGAAGGCGGCUCGCUGGGCCGGACCUGACGCUGAGACGCGAAGGCGUGGGGAGCGAACAGG